rnacentral:rRNA from 1 species
UACGUAGGGUGCAAGCGUUAAUCGGAAUUACUGGGCGUAAAGCGUGCGCAGGCGGUUUUGCAAGUCGGGUGUGAAAUCCCCAGGCUUAACCUGGGAACUGCAUUCGAGACUGCAUUGCUAGAGUAUGGGAGAGGGAAGUGGAAUUUCCGGUGUAGCGGUGAAAUGCGUAGAUAUCGGAAGGAACAUCAGUGGCGAAAGCGACUUCCCGGACCAAUACUGACGCUCAUGUGCGAAAGCGUGGGGAGCAAACAGG